GGACGAGAACAGACUGUUUUUGUGUUUGCUGAACACAUUUUUGGAUCCCGAAAGAGAUCGUUAUACACCACAUAACGAUCUUAUACCUGCAGAACGAAGAUACAGAAUUUCACGGAGAAAAGGAUAACCGCUGCACCCCACUUUCUCCCCACUAAGUCGACUCUGCUGUUUUCCUCUGCUGCCGCCCGAGGACCAGCCUUGCCGUUGAAUCCGCCUACAAAGCAGUGCCCCGGCCACCGUCAGUAUCCGAGCCUGAGAGGACUCCGCGGGAUAACCCAAAUGGACUGAACUCAUUGCAUCGAUUUCAAGAGCUAUUUCAAUUCCGGGUUAAUGUACUGGUACUUCUUGGAAUGAUGGAUUCAUUUUUAAUGGAGACCGCUGUCCUGAGAAGACAAUGUCAUCUGCCAUCUUGAGGAGUUUAACCAACGGGUCUGUUCUGUUGAGGACAGGAAGAGGCCAGGAAGUGCCCACAGGUGCCGACCAAUCAGAGUCCAGCACAGAGCAGGAAAAUCCCCCUAGGCCUGCCCAUCACAAACAUGUGCAGCACCCAACCGCACCAUGAUGCCUUAUUCUGAUUCUACAG